rnacentral:lncRNA from 1 species
CGUAUCUAUGAAACAAUUAUAUAUCAUACAUAUUAUAGAUAUGUAACGUGCAACGGAGUUAGCUCACCUUAUUUUUACAAGCUGCACUGCAGUUUGGUGAAUACGUGGGAACGACGAUCGUCGUUCUACCGUUGAAGCCGACGGACAUGGUUCCGACGAAAUGUCAAUCGCGUGAAAAAUCGAACAGCUCAAGAGCGCGGAGAUGCUCGACUGUCGCUGAAAAGAUCUACUACUAGACGUGAAUUUAACGCGAGGUCAAUACCCGCCAAUUGCCUGCCGACAACCUCGUACGACGGUGUUCUAAGGAUCAUUCGUGGAUGUCACUCGCGAGGAAAAUUUUAUUCACCGUAUCGGAGAUCGUGCACGAUCUUCAAUAGUGGAUCUCUUAUCGCUGGAUAACACGGUCACGCGUCUGUUGCUUCGUCGAAUUUUACACUGCGGUAGAGAAUUAUGUGUAAAUUUAUUUUAAAGGUCUGAUGUAUUCUCGGGACACCUACGAACACUUGAGUUAGUCACUUUGCGAGCGAUGGAUCAUUUAGAAUGACACCGGCGAAUGCUGGAUCAGUCAUACGUUACACACCGUUGCCACGCCUACCUUCCAAACAAUGAUAUGCGAUUAAAACUUAUCGCAAAUUCAGGCUAGCUUCAUUCCGCGACAAGAUCUCACCGCGAGACGCGAGAGUUUCGUCGACUUGAGUUUUCAAAACUCAUUACGACAGUUCGACCAUGCGGCAUUCAGACUCGAAUCAACUCAAGUAUACAUAGAUUUUCAUGUGCCACAUAUUGGUAUGUGAGAUGGGAAACCGUUUGAUUUCUUUAUUCGGAUGAACGUUGUAAGUGAUCGUAUCAACCUGGUUGGGUCUUGAUGUACGGGAGAAAAGUUUUCCAUAUUGGUUUUAAUGAUUUUUUAAAUCAGAUAAUUUUUCUGUGCAGCGACUCUUUCAUAAUAUAAGUACAAACCGAGUGCUCGUCCAGAAAAUAAUUGUCUCGUAUUACGCUGGGAAAUUUGAGAAGUCGGUUUCGGAAUCAGGUGCAGUGUCGGUAGUUUCGGACUUUUUACGUCUAUAAUAACUAUAUAUACACGUGCGUGUAAAACCGCAUUGAGAAAAAUAUCAUUUGUUACGGUUACUACAAAAUUCUUGUUCAACAGCUGUCGUCGUAGCAACAAUUGUUUAAACAUCGUCGGAAUUACAAUAAAAUGCGUUACAAGUAACUAGUCAGUGGGAUCAUUAUUGUGAAUACUCUACUUUCCCAUUACAUCGACGUUACAUAGUUGAAUACAAUUUUUUAGUUAAAUAAUACCUUGACAUCAAUUUCUGGAUGAACCAAAAUUAAAUUAUCGCAAAAUUAAUACGAAAGUAUAGCACACGCGAGUGACCAUGAUCGAAAAUAAUAAAAAAAAAAAAACAGGUAUAAUAUUGAAUUUUCUCGUUACGGUAACAAAACUGAUUUUCAAUUUAUACCCAGAACUGUACAUUUCGGUUAUAGUAAAAAAUUAAACCAGUCAAGGUCCGUAUAGUAACAAUAAGUAACUUUUCUUCUCGGUGCGACUUAUCGAAUUCAUUGCGAAAUUGACGUUACUAUAGCGAGCGUAGCCUAGGUACGUCUGUACUCGAAGGCUUAGGCGUGCAGAGCCUCGCUGACAGUAUGUUUUAGCACAUUGUGUCUAUAAAUAAGUGGAAUAAUAGAAUGACGAAACUGUUCAUGAAUCGCUUCAACGAGGAGGAAUCAGUGUUUUGUCAAUUAAUUUUUGUAAUAUAAUACGGGUAAUGCGUUUCGAGUGUUGACCGCUCUUUGUGGUGCAUCUGUCCUACGUAUUUAUACAAUAUGGCAUUGGAUUGCAAAUUGCGAUGAUAACGUCAAGGUGCAAACACUGGCUAGUAACCUGAAGACGGCUUCGCGACGUUGGUAAUAUGCUUAUUUAUAAGGAGUGCAGAGCUGUGCCUGUACAUUAUUACGGUAUAAUCGCAGCCUGCAGAUGUGUCGAAUGCGUUGUAAUUUAACGUAUAGAAUAAGGUAUACCUUAUGAACAACGCUUUGGCCCGCGAGCGCAUAUUUUAGAAUUUUUUUUUCCAUCUUGCAAUUUUGGUCGAUUAUUUUUCGUACACGGAAUAAAAGUUUUGGAAUGUUUCUUUUUUUUUCAAGUAUUUUUAUUAUGUUUAUUUUUCUCUUAUUUCGAUAACUUUUACAUUUGGUUUACCCUCACGACAAUAUGAAUAAACGUUUUCAGUUUAUUUUACUAUUUUAUUGUUCGUGAAAGAGAGAAAAUUUGCCUCUAGACUGCAUUAAAGGGCAUUCGUAUUGGAAUAUUGAGAUAUAAACAAAAGCUCCAAUAAAAAAAAUGUGACACACUGGCUUGGAUCGUGGAAAUGAAUAGACUGAAUUGACUGAGACAAUUGUUACCAUUAAAUUUCUGAUUUGAUCUAUUAUUUUAUAAAUUAAUAAACACUAUAUUUUUACAUUGAAAAGUUAUUAUCGCUAUAUUCGUUUUAAUCCAUUAUUUCCCUAGCAUUAUUCCGUAUCGAGUUACGCACGCGGCAUAUUUAUAUGCAAUAUAACCGGGAUGUAUAAGAUUAUUAUGGGAAUGGAAUUUUUUACGCACGCUGUAAAGAAUUUCAUUCCGUAUAUUCGUGUAUUGAUACGAUUUAUUAAAAUAGAAAUUAUUAUUUUAUAUUAACUAGCUAUAAAUGUAUAUACGUAUAUGGAUACUGAAUACUUGUCUUCAAUGCGGCAGAAAUAAAAUUAUGCAUCUAUGUAUAUAAUUUAAUGCGUUGGAUAUCGUUAGCUGUAUUUAACGCACCUGCACGUCGAGUAAAAAAUAAUAUAAAAUAACGUGUCGUGAUAAUAACUAUAACGAUAUAUUAUUAUCAUCGUGCAAUGGUCAUGGCCGUAGAAUAAUGUGUUUAUACCUAAUCUACUUCGUACGAAUUAGGGUAUAACAGAUGAUGAUUUAAUGCGUAUAAAAGUGUUGUAUUUCGUUUCGGAUAGAGGAAUAACAAUAAUAAUAAUCAGUCAUAGAACGAUUAAUUAUUAUUAAUAUUUCGCUGAUUUUCUCAAUUGCAAAAUUAAUUGCAAUUAAAAGUUAACGGCUAAAUUAUUAAUUCAUUUAACAUAUUAUAGUAUAUCGUAUGCAAAUAUGCAGUGUAUUUGAUACAACUCAUACGUAUAUCGUAGUGUAAGUACGAAAAUAUUUUUAUUGCACGAGUUCAUUGGACGGUUUUCACAAAAAUAUACAAUUCAAUUAUCCCCUAGUAUGAAUAAUUACGACUACAUGCAUGUUAUAUGUAUAAUAAUAUAUAUAUAUAAAAAAAAAAAAAAAAAUUAAAGUUCCUGAAUUAGAAUUGAGCAAUGACUGUGUUAAUUGGUUUAGUGAGUAUAUAAUAGAUAUGCAUAAAAAUUUGCCUCGUAUUUACAAAAUAUACGAUGCCUAAUUCUAGGGCACCAAAAUGCGGCCUUAAUAUCAUACGAUCUUAUACAACCUUAACUUUUAUAUAACAAUACGUAUGCAUAAGUAUACAUACAUAUGUAUGGUUACAGUCAUUUAUAUAUGAUUAUAUGAACUGUAACUAUAUAAAUUGACCUUGAGCUUUUUCGAUGUAAAGCUCGAUCUACGAUUAGGCAGUGCGCGCUCUCAUUUACCUUUGACUCGGCAGAUCUCUUCCUUACCGACAGAAGACCCAUCUAACCAUUCUCCGCGCUACAAAUUUAACAGUUCGUCCGGCAGAUGUCGGUGUUGAUUACAGUUUGAAGUCAAAUCAAGAGACUCCGUAGAGUCUCGCGUCAAGAUCUUUGGCCACCCUUAUUUUGUUUUUCAAUUAUACCUUUAAACAGAUCGUCACUGAUCUCACUCCUGGCUGAUCCGCAUCCCCGACGAAAUAUCUUGUUAAAGCUGGCGGCGCGGCUUAUUCAUUCAGGUAAACGUUCGUUUAUAUAUUCCGAACAUCGCGGUUCAACGGCUCCUUCUGCGAUCUGUACCGCCGUUCGGAAAGAA